rnacentral:rRNA from 1 species
AUUGAACGCUGGCGGCAUGCCUUACACAUGCAAGUCGAACGGUAACAGGUCUUCGGAUGCUGACGAGUGGCGAACGGGUGAGUAAUACAUCGGAACGUGCCCGAUCGUGGGGGAUAACUACUCGAAAGAGUAGCUAAUACCGCAUACGAUCUACGGAUGAAAGCGGGGGAUCUUCGGACCUCGUGCGGACGGAGGGGCCGAUGGCAGAUUAGGGAGUUGGUGGGUUAAAAGCUUACCAAGCCGACGAUCUGUAGCUGGUCUGAGAGGACGACCAGCGACACUGGGACUGAGACACGGCCCAGACUCCUACGGGAGGCAGCAGUGGGGAAUUUUGGACAAUGGGCGAAAGCCUGAUCCAGCAAUGCCGCGUGCAGGAUGAAGGCCUUCGGGUUGUAAACUGCUUUUGUACGGAACGAAAAGACUCCUUCUAAUACAGGGGGUCCAUGACGGUACCGUAAGAAUAAGCACCGGCUAACUACGUGCCAGCCGCCGCAGUAA